rnacentral:misc_RNA from 1 species
AACUUUUGACAAUGGAUCACUUGGCUCUCGCAUCGAUGAGGAACGCAGCGAAAUGCGAUACGUAAUGUGAAUUGCAGAAUUCAGUGAAUCAUCGAAUCUUUGAACGCACCUUGCGCCCCUUGGCAUUCCGAGGGGCACACCCGUUUGAGUGUCGUGAAAUUCUCAAACCUUCUUGGUUUCUUGACCAAGAUGGCUUUGGACUUUGGAGGCGUUUUGCCGGCUUUGCAGAAAGUCGGCUCCUCUUAAAUGCAUUAGUGGGGUCCUCUUUGCCAAUCCCCGGGCGUGAUAAGAUGUUUCUACGUCUUGGGAUUUGCUCUGUUUGUUGGGAACCCGCUUCUAACCGUCUCGUGAGAGACAGCGUUCGAGUUCUGCUCGGCACACGAAAUCUUGACCUCAAAUCGGGUGAGACUACCCGCUGAAUUUAAGCAUAUCAAUAAGCGGAGGAU